AGAGAUGUAGCUCAGUGGUAGAGCACUGGCUUAGUAUUAGUGAAUGUCUGGGUCCCAUCUCUA
rnacentral:tRNA from 1 species